AACAUUUUUUUCCAUUCUUGGUGUUCAGUGUUCAUUGUAAUUAAUCAGUUGCUGUACCUUGUUUUUCAUUAAACACGCAGGUGCAAGGUCCCUCGUGUAAAAUGAGCUCGAUCGGUCAAAAACGCGCGUUUACCAUGGAGUCGAAAUAUUUCUGUAAACAUCUGGUCGCAAAAUAAAACAACGACUACUCGCAGCGGCUACCUCGAAGUAUAUACAGAUAUAGGAACGAAAAAAAAACAAAAACCAUAAUAUUUAGUUAAAAAAAAAAAAUGGCAAGACAACGUAAAAAAUAAACUUUGUGUUUCAAUCGAUUUUAUUGUUUUAUUGGUAAGAAUUACAUUUACAAUUUUACAGACAUAGCCAUAGUAUAUGACCCGACGAUAGGUAAUGUAUAUAAAAAUAUAAAUAGGAAAAAUAAAAAUAAAUUUGAAAAUGUUACGAAUAGACUCCUGAAUUGUUAUUAACUUAUAAUAUACAUAAAAUAGUAACAUUUGACUGUUGGAUCAACGUUAAAAUGUAAAAAAGUCCAUUAUUGGAACGGUUACGUUGUGUAACAGGAUUAAUAGUUUUUGCGAUUUGUGACAUAAAAACGGCGCGGAACAUAAUAUGGUUUUCAACUGUGUAUGCGGUUCGAUUGCAAUAAGACGAACGAAGACGACGGUUGAGAAGACGAAGAGUUUCGAUGAUGAUCGUGUUGCAGCACAUAUGAUGUACACUCGCUGGACACAGAAAUGCAGCAGAGAAAUGUCGGUAUCUAUGGGCCGGACAAUUCCUCUGGAGACGUUACAUAAUAAUAUAAUAUAAAUAAUACCCAUUUCGCCGAGGACCUCAUGUCGGUGCCGGGGCUCAUCAUCUAGAUUUUUGCGCAAUCUUUACAACCUUACAUUGUCUACGCUCCUAUUAUAUUGUGUAUAAUACGGCCCGUAUCACGACUGCGAGGUGUGUACGGCGAUUCGUUACGGAAUUUACGCGCAAGAGUUAUGGGCCGAGAGAAAGUGCGUGGCGGGCAUCUUGCCGUUGUUUUCGUGACAAUAAGCCAAUAAAAUUUUUAUAAUAAACAGCGUGUGUUUACCCACGAGAUCGAACUGUUUGCGCGUGUGUACGAAAAGAAGAAAAAAAUGGGCACUGCAACAACAAUAACA